rnacentral:rRNA from 1 species
CACUCCUGCGGGAGGCAGCAGUGAGGAAUAUUGGACAAUGGGUGGAAGCCUGAUCCAGCCAUCCCGCGUGCAGGAAGACGGCCCUAUGGGUUGUAAACUGCUUUUAUCUGGGGAUAAACCUACUUACGUGUAAGUAGCUGAAGGUACCAGAAGAAUAAGCACCGGCUAACUCCGUGCCAGCAGCCGCGGUAAUACGGAGGGUGCAAGCGUUAUCCGGAUUUAUUGGGUUUAAAGGGUCCGUAGGCGGACUGAUAAGUCAGUGGUGAAAUCCGACAGCUUAACUGUCGAACUGCCAUUGAUACUGUUAGUCUUGAGUAAGGUUGAAGUGGCUGGAAUAAGUAGUGUAGCGGUGAAAUGCAUAGAUAUUACUUAGAACACCAAUUGCGAAGGCAGGUCACUAAGUCUUAACUGACGCUGAUGGACGAAAGCGUGGGGAGCGAACAGGAUUAGAAACCCCAGUAGUCCCAU